rnacentral:rRNA from 1 species
AGUGGAAAAACUCCCUUGACGGUACUUAAUGAAUAAGCCCUGGCUAAUUAUGUGCCAGCAGCCGCGGUAAUACAUAAGGGGCGAGCGUUAUCCGGAAUUAUUGGGCGUAAAGGGUGCGUAGGCGGUUUAAUAAGUCUAUAGUUUAAUUUCAGCGCUUAACGCUGUUGCGCUAUAGAAACUGUUUUACUAGAGUGAGUUAGAGGCAAGCGGAAUUCCAUGUGUAGCGGUAAAAUGCGUAAAUAUAUGGAGGAACACCAGAGGCGUAGGCGGCUUGCUGGGACUUUACUGACGCUGAGGCACGAAAGCGUGGGGAGCAAACAGGAUUAGAUACCCUGGUAGUCCACGCCGUAAACGAUGAGUACUAAGUGUCGGGUAAAACCGGUACUGAAGUUAACACAUUAAGUACUCCGCCUGAGUAGUACGUACGCAAGUAUGAAACUUAAAGGAAUUGACGGGACUCCGCACAAGCGGUGGAUCAUGUUGUUUAAUUCGAAGAUACACGAAAAACCUUACCAGGUCUUGACAUUUUCUUGCGAAGUUAUAGAAAUAUAAUGGAGGUUAUCAGGAAAACAGGUGGUGCAUGGUUGUCGUCAGCUCGUGUCGUGAGAUGUUAGGUUAAGUCCUAAAACGAGCGCAACCCUUGUCGUUAAUUGCCAGCAUGUAAUGAUGGGGACUUUAACGAGACUGCCAAUGAAAAAUUGGAGGAAGGUGGGGAUUACGUCAAAUCAUCAUGCCCCUUAUGAUCUGGGCUACAAACGUGAUACAAUGGUUGAUACAAAGAGUAGCUGAAACGCGAGUUCUUAGCCAAUCUCACAAAAUCAAUCUCAGGUUCGG